GCGACGUCGGAACAAUUUAAACAACCCAACAAUAAAUACCAGUGUUCAGAGAAGAUACAUUAAUAGAUUUUAUUUGCGACGGAAAUAAAAAAAAAAAAGUUCUGGAUCCAAGAGUGAAAAUAAGGAAGAGACUUAAAACAACUGGGACUUUUUUCCGCUGACGUCACAGCUCGUCGUUCAUGAUGGCUCUUAAGGAUUCAGGAUGACAAGAAGAAAAAUAUAUUUUUUAUUAAUUAAACGACUCUGGAACAUGCUAUUGUGGAGCAGCUAAAUGUUGAAGCUCCGGUUUUAAGAAGAAGAAAUUAUGGAGGAGGAACUCCGCCAUCUUUAUUUGCUGUCGACGGACCCUGGGAGACAAACGGAGACACGGAUGGUGAAGAAGAGACUAAGGGAAACGUAAACAGAAGUGACAGAGAAAUGCAGUCAGAGGGAUUGAUGGAAUCAGUGAAAAGCAGAGAAAGCAGAGUUAAUGUAAACAGGUCUACAAGACAGCAGGACGGGCCUGCCAGCGCCUCGCCUCUGCGGGUACCUGAAUCCUUUGUGAGUCAACCUGAACAUGUCAGAUUAAAGUAAUGAUGGCCUGUCACUGACAUGAAAAGCACGGGAAGGCGAAAUACUACAAAGUACAGCCUGCAAAAAACACAUCAGUGCCUGAAGAAAAAUCUCUACAGCUGACAGUGAAAACCAGGGUGGAGAAACGGUAAAGAUACAUCAGCACCAAACUCAAGUUAAACUGGGCUAACAAUGAGGAAAACAAAUGAAUGAAUAAACAGAGGUACAUGUGUGGUGUCAGGAAAAGGACAGAAUAGGGACAGAACUUAAAGGGAAACAACAUCAUGCCCACUGGACCUUAAUGCCAGAUAAGCUUCACACACCUUAGAGUACAAGUGUAAACUAGGGUGGGAAUGCACACACAUGGACACACUAAGCCAUCAGACCAACAGUGCACACCUGAGCAAACACAAUCCCAGUCUUUCACCUGCGUUAACUGGCAGAAGUAGCAACAAGGUGUCCAAGAAGUUAAAUGACUGACUGAGAACUCUGUUAUUUUCUCUUGCUACUCUCCAUUUAUGCAUAGUUUGCAAUUUUUGCUUUCAUUACCUUUUUGCAUGCUCUCUGUUCUUUCGGUCUUGUUUUUUUGUGGACAGAGCAAUACCUGCCUGCACCUCUGUGUAUU